CAGAGGCCUGGGGUGCGGCCAGGGCGCUCAGGAAGCCUGAAGCCGCUCCCUCACACUCGCUCACAGGAGGUCUUUAUGGCUGUGGCCAGAAAAGGCCCUCAAUGCAGCAGGCCCAGAGGUCCGAUAAGGGUCAGAGACAGCCAGACUACCUUGGGCUGAAAACAUCCAAGCAUCACCCCGGACGUGCCCCGCUCAGGUCCCCUAACAGGCCCGGCUUUAAAAAGCAGUGUGUUUUGAACUCGUCGCGAAGUACAUUCUGUAAUUCCUGACCAAAAUACCAACUGACGUAAAAGAAGCUCAUUUAUGGAAAAAAAUAUUUUGCUUGGAGAUGGACCCCUGGAUGCUCGUGGAGGGCCCGUUUUCCAGCAUGAAAUAUUUGAAAAGGAAAACACAUUGGUGGAGGAAUGGGAUUAUCAGAUAUGAAAGAUAAAAUCUUUUAACAUUGGAUUCCUGAUGCAAGAAUGGAAUGGAAAAGAGUAGAAUCAGCCUGAAGUUAUAUAAACAUGAAAUACAUGCAAUGAUGACCUUUCAAAUCAGUAGGGAAAGCUUGGAUUGUUUUUCAGUCAACACUUUGGGCAAACGGCCAACCCCUUGAAACUAAAUAAAGUUAGAUUCCUGUUUCUUGUUCUA